UGUCCAGUAACUCCUAUCCCUACCUCCCCGUGGUGCCGCCUGGGGUACGAGUAACCGUAGGGAAGAUCGGGUAACCAACCCUGGUCGUAUGCUGACAUGGAAGA
rnacentral:ribozyme from 1 species